rnacentral:rRNA from 1 species
AUGCAGUCGAACGGCAGCACGGGAGCAAUCCUGGUGGCGAGUGGCGAACGGGUGAGUAAUAUAUCGGAACGUGCCCAGUCGUGGGGGAUAACGUAGCGAAAGCUACGCUAAUACCGCAUACGAUCUACGGAUGAAAGCGGGGGACUCGUAAGGGCCUCGCGCGAUUGGAGCGGCCGAUAUCAGACUAGGUUGUUGGUGAGGUAAAAGCUCACCAAGCCUGCGAUCUGUAGCUGGUCUGAGAGGACGACCAGCCACACUGGAACUGAGACACGGUCCAGACUCCUACGGGAGGCAGCAGUGGGGAAUUUUGGACAAUGGACGCAAAUCUGAUCCAGCAAUGCCGCGUGCAGGACGAAGGCCUUCGGGUUGUAAACUGCUUUUGUACGGAACGAAACGGUCUGCUUUAAUACAGUGGGCUAAUGACGGUACCGUAAGAAUAAGCACCGGCUAACUACGUGCCAGCAGCCGCGGUAAUACGUAGGGUGCGAGCGUUAAUCGGAAUUACUGGGCGUAAAGCGUGCGCAGGCGGUUAUAUAAGUCAGAUGUGAAAUCCCCGGGCUCAACCUGGGACCUGCAUUUGAGACUGUAUAGCUAGAGUACGGUAGAGGGGGAUGGAAUUCCGCGUGUAGCAGUGAAAUGCGUAGAUAUGCGGAGGAACACCGAUGGCGAAGGCAAUCCCCUGGACCUGUACUGACGCUCAUGCACG